CGGCAACCCUUGUGAAACGAGACCGUCACCUAUCCAGCUAACACACAAAUGAGCUCCGCCCGCUCCCUCUGCGCCCGCCCCAGCGGCCUGCGUGGCACGGCGCGCCCUCAACCAAAAUGGCAGCGCGCGGGCUUCGCCUGCCCUGUUGCAAGAUGGCUGCCGCCGUGCGCUGCUGUGUGUGGGCCGGGACGGGAGGCGGGGCCGCGCCACACGGCGGCGGCGGGCGGAGCGGUAGGGGCUUCGCGCAGCGGGGCCGCGCCGGAGGCUCGGCAGGUAGGGUGGGCCUGCGCCGAUGCUUCUCUGAUUGAAAGAAAAGGCUGGAAGGAGCCGUGAAGGGCAGGCGAAGCGCGGUGAGGGCUCCCGCAGGAAGCUUGUCCCCUCUCAGAGGCCGUACCCCGCUCAGCUCCUGCCGUUCCCGCCUAAAUUUUUGGUGUGUGUGAGGGGGGAGUCCGGGCCUCGAGGCCUGCAGGCUCCAUGAAGCUGCUGCGCCUGCUGUGCCGCCACAAGACGGCCCUUGGCCUGGGUGGCCUGUCGCUCUUCGCCGUGGUCCUGCUUUACCUGGCCAAGUGUACCUCCGAGGGCCUGCGGCCGCUGCCAGCCCCCCGGGGACUACCCCACCAACAGCCCCCACUGCCAUGGGGUGCCAGGGGGCCGCCUGCCAUCCCGCCGCCUUCCCCUCCUCAGGAGUCGGCCUUCUUGGCGGUGCUCAUCACCAGCGGCCCCAAGUACACCGAGCGCCGCAGCAUCAUCCGCAGCACCUGGCUGGCAGCGGCCGGCCGCCCUCCUCACGACAACAUCUGGAGCCGCUUCGUCAUCGGCACGGGUGGGCUGGGGGCCGAGGAGCUGCGGAGCCUGGAGCUGGAGCAGAGCCGGCAUAGGGACCUCCUUCUCCUGCCGGAGCUGAGGGAUUCCUACGAGAAUUUGACCGCCAAAGUGCUGGCCACGUACGUCUGGCUGGAUCUGCACCUUGACUUCCAGUUCGUCCUGAAGGCCGACGACGAUACGUUUGUACGCUUGGAUGUGCUGGUGGAAGAUCUGAGAGCCAAGGAGCCACGUCGCCUCUAUUGGGGCUUCUUUUCUGGCCGUGGUCGAGUGAAAUCUGGUGGCAAGUGGAAAGAGAGUGCGUGGGUGCUCUGUGACUACUACCUGCCGUACGCCCUGGGUGGAGGUUAUGUGCUUUCUGCAGAUCUGGUGCACUAUCUGCGGCUCAACAGAGACUACCUGAACAUGUGGCAGAGCGAGGAUGUCUCCCUGGGGGUCUGGUUGGCUCCCAUUGAUGUGAAAAGAGUGCACGACCCUCGUUUUGACACUGAGUAUAAGUCACGGGGUUGCAACAAUAAGUACAUAGUAACGCAUAAGCAAAGCAUCGAGGACAUGCUGGAAAAGCACCAGACCUUGGCUAAAGAAGGGAAGCUCUGUAAGGAGGAGGUUAAGCUCAGGCUUUCCUACAUGUAUGACUGGGGAGUGCCACCUUCCCAGUGUUGCCAAAGGAAGGAUGGCAUCCCCUGAAAGUCUGAGGAAGGAAAAGGCGGAUUAUUACUGGACUCUCUGAGCUGGGUUACUGUUAUCUGGGGCAAAUCCCAAUAACUAGGGCUUAAAAAUUACUCAAAAGAUUUUGCACGAUUCAUUAUGUCACAGUCAAUGAAACCCUGCAACUCCUGAGAGCUACUGGUGUGGCAUGAUGUAAAGUUGUUUAUAAAAGAGAAAGAUAUGACAAAAACCUGGAAAGGCUCACAUUACAGGAUUGAAGGCAAAUCAUAGGUUGCAAGAGGGAUAGUAGAGAAUUCUGGGGGAGAUAAUUUGGAUCAAAAGCUGCUAGAAGAUUUUUAACAGAUUCUAUGAUAUAUUUGCUAAAGAUUGUGGCAGGCCUUUACACUGUAAGAUUGUGAAACUAACAUCUGGUAUUUAUUUACUGGCGAGCAACAAUUGUCAGUUUGGCAAGGUUUGAAAAUUCGAAUGCGGACGCAAAUUGGUUGCUCUUGCCAGUGGGAACAGGUGUCUGUCACAAGCAUUGAAGUAAGGAGAACAAAUUUGCACCAGAUAUUCACGUUAGGGGAGGGAGAGAGUCUGUUCUUUGGAGAGUGCUCUGAUUUACAGGAAUAGAAUUAUUAGACCUUCUGUGUAACUUGUCUCUUUUUGUUGUUGUUUUAAAGACAGCUUGUACAUAAAUUAUCUGGCAGCUACAGAGUAAAUCUGUAUUUAGAAAGGUGGAUGAGUUAUGGCAUUUGGCAGGUAGAGUAUAUUAUCAUAUUUGGGGGCAAAUAGUUAUGCUACAAAACUAGCCUUCAGUUGUUAGGCAUAGGUGUUGUUCUUAGCUUAUUGUCCAAACCCAAUAUGUAUGAAGAAGCAUUCCGCCCGAACAGCAAAUAAUCCUACUACUGCACAGUCAGAUGCUGUAGCCUUCGGAUUUAUAUUAUUAUUCUAGAGCACUUGGGUACAAGAUAUGUUAGCAGGAUUAGGUCAGUGGAGGGUAUUCAGAAGUCAAAAAGAUUGCCCUAAAUUGGAUAGCUCAGAUAAGAAAGCAAACUCCAUGUAUAGUCAAGAUUAUCAUUUAUAGGCUGCUCUGAUUAUCAUUUAGAGGAAGGGUGUUGUUUUACCCCUGAAUUUUGAGGGCAGCCCUGUCUGAAGGCAGCCUUUUCUCCUCUUUCAGGAGCUGCAUUGUGCUCUAAGGAAACAAAUUUCCCAACAGUCUCAUUCCUUCCUUCUCCCCAGUAGUACCUCAUUGUGGCACAGAAAUAAUUUUACUGAAGGUCUAAGUUAAUUGCUCAAGUGAUAUGUCAGUAAAUAGGAUUAUUUCCCUUCGUCCUGUCUGCUCUACAAAUAAUUCUAGCGCUGACAGAGCUUGUCAUCACUGAGUACAAUACUGAGCAGUAACUGCAGACUGGACUUUCUUGACUUGUGGAACAGGUCAAGAACACUUACACAAUUUCACCAUCUUACUUACCCUCAAACUUUUAGGUAGGCCUGUGAUUCCAACACUUUUGAAUGGCAGAUGCUCUAGUACACCGGUGUUUUUUUCCAGUAGUGCAGAGCCACUGACUUCCAAGGACCUUUGUCAGCAACAGAUCUUUCAGUAUGAGCAGUUUUUACUUCUGUGCCUGAAUGGCAUGUUCCCAACCAUCAGUUUUACCUGGUUGUUGCACGCUGCACUUUCAUACAGUUCCCAUCAUUUCCUCCUCUCUCUGGGCUUGUGUCUGCUCUCACCUGCAGAAAGGCACAAAUUGCAAAGGAAAAAAAACCAAAACAUUGCCAGUAUCUUUAGUUUCAUUUCUUAAAUUACCAAGUUAGCAAUUCAUACCAAAGGAAUAGAGGUUGUUAUUUUGUUAUUCUUCUCUUGUUUUGAUUAAAUUAUUGGGGAUUAAGUCUUCUGCAAAGGAUGAUUUUCCAGUAUGAAAAUCUGAAUGAAUCCAGCUUCCCUCUGAAACAAAUUUAACUAAUUAAGGUACUGGAAAUAAGUUAUUUUAGCAUGUGUCCAUUCCAAUGCAUGUCCACGUAUUGACAGGCAGAUGUGCUUUUCAGCAAGUUGUGUCAUUCCAAAACAAUAAUUUAAUAUUAAACAAGAUUGCAGGAAAUUUAAAUUGGUUCUAGCAUUUUAAAAAUACCUACUUGUUCUUUGGGGUAAACCAGUGUUGUGUGUAUAUAUGUGAUUAAAUGCUUGUAAUGUGAGUAUUUAUAAAUAUCGAAAACGUGUUCUGUAUAGGAAAAGUAAGGUAGUUAGAUGUCACGUUUUAAAUUUGUUUACACAAGUACUUUGCUGUCCAUGAGAAUUGUGUAUCAAGCAGUGCUUGAGUUUGUUGGUCUACAGGCCGUUAUUUAAAGUCCUGGGAUCUGAAGGGUGGGCCAAAAAUCUGCUUCAUGUCUCUGGAGCUAGUGAGAGCGUGCUGCUCAGCACCCAGACCUGUGUCCAUGAUGGUGGGAGUUGUUUACAUUGCUAACUUAGGCUCCCCUUACCUGCCUCCGACAGUUGUCACUGGGAGCAGCGUUCACCAAGGAGGAGUGCUGAGUCUCCAUCCAAUGUCUGACCCAUGGAAAACACGAUGCACGCAAAUACUUGAUAGCUGUGCAAUUCCCUUGAGCGGUUUCUCACGCCUUCUUUAUUAUUUAGGUAGUUGGAGGUGAUCUGAUACUUGAAAAACCACGAUGUAAUUGUUGCCUCUCUUAAGUCAGCGCAAGGAGGCUGACUUCCGUGGGUCCAGCAUCUGAGGGGGUGUUCCUCUGCGUCUGGGAAACACCAUUUGUUGGUCUGCAUCAGCUAGAUCAGAAUGGAAAGUUUAGUUGCAAAAACUGAAAACCGAAUGAUCCAGAAACAUAGAGAUUUUUAUGGCAUUCUUAGUGGCAAUGGGUUAUCGGUACAUUGGCUUUUUGGUUUUUAAGUGGUGCUUCUGCUGGUUUCCUAUUCAUAAGCGCUCUGUACUUUUAACAUUAUUGGGAGUGUGCAGAAAAAUGAGCACUUCAGCUUUUCUAGACAUCAGUGAUGACACACCAGAAGUCGUGCAGGUGUGUAGAGUUUAUAAGUUCGUAUUGGUAUCCAUGUAGGACUACCACUGAGUCAAUCUGCAAGACCAUUGAGCUAUUUAUUAUCAUCAGGUUCUUCAAAAGAAUAAAUGAAUCAGGCAUUUAGCAUUCUUCCAGAGGCAACAAAUAGAGAAAUUCAUUGUUCAUAAGAUAUUUUCUCUGGCUGCAUCUAAACUUCAGUACUGAAAUAUUUAAAGCUGACAACAGCAUAAACUCAACUAGAAAUUAGGUUUUAUUUUAAAGCGAUACACAACGCCUCAUUCUCCUUCUCCUUUAGUGUGUAAGAAGGAGUAGCUCAAUCAUUUCAAUACGAAAUGAACAGCUCAAACCUUUGCGUUUCCAAGAAUUCCUACGGUCAGUUUCAAUUAAAAAGCCAAACUUAUAAAUACCAUUCCUCAAGCUGAAUGCUUCCUUUCCCAACUAUCCAGUCUUGUCCAUGUGACGCUUGCUUAAAUACAGCUUCUGCAUGUCGUGCUUCUGACAAACGUUACAUUUUUCGUAGUUGAAAUACCUCAUUUUGAACAUUUCAAUCUGUAUUCCUUAUCUGUUAGUGCUAGCUUGGCAGAUUUCACUAAGAGCACAGCAGCACAGGCAGGUGAUUAAGGUUUGCAUUUCUAUUCCUUGCUGUUCAGCUCCAGCAUCACAGUUGAAACAUGUUCUUGCUAUUGCUGCGUGCUUGACAAACUGUCAACACCUCUGCUGCUCUGUGUUUAAUUUAGAACACGCUGCCUGCGAGACUCCAAUCUGUUGCUACAUGUACCUGUGCAAGAUGUGCUUUUGCCCUAGAACUGGAUCUAGUUUAUGCCAGCAUAACAUGCCUGCUAUUACUUUCUAAUACAGACCACGUCGGUACUGACGGGUGAAACAUGGAGCUGGAUCUGUUCCCUAUAGCCUACUUGAAGCUGAAGGAUGUUACGUGAUAAGUGUGCCUUUAUGAAGCAGAAUUGAGGUAGCAAGGAGGCAGCCGCAGCAGCGUGAGAUCAGGGAAGUGAGCGUUUGACCCCAGCUCAGGGUCAGGACAAACAUGGUUGGUCUCCUGUUUUGAGAUACGUAUUGUGCCCAUGUGGUGCCUGGAGUCAUAGCGAAAGAACGAUCUGCAGUUAUCGGUCCCCAUCGAUUUCUGAGGAAGCCAUGGAGAAAUGAGUCGGACCAGCAAAGCUGCUGGUAAGCACUAUGAAUUAUGCAUUAUUUGCUCUGCUCAGGGCCUAGCCGCCCUGUCUCUAAAAUGUUGUCCCUGGGACAUGGUGGGAUCUCGUUGCUCAAAGCCUCGUUACAAGCGCAGUCAUCCAAUUCCACAGAAAGCUACUUCAGAAAUGGUUCCAAGGCCAAACGACCUAAAGCAAAUAAAGGCACAACUGCAAGGCCUUGAACCUGAGAUGAGGAGUUAUUUUGCUACAUGAUGUUAGGUGUGUGAGUUCCAACACAAACGAUCAAAUUGCUGUUGAAGCGAACAGAAGGAAGAGGAGACUGACAAAUAAUGCAAGUCAAGGGAACUAAUUCAAAGCACACCGCCCAAACCAGAUAUACGUGGGGAUUUCUGCCAGUUACCGAGCAAGCUGCCUAAAAAUAGGAUUUAUGGAUCACAGAAAAAUAGAGGAGCAGCCAGUGUCCAAGGGCAGGCAGGGUUUUGUUUCACAAGGCAAACACACCAGCUUGGGUGAAGGGACUGCUCUGGGACCACACAGGGAGCCUGCAGCAGGAUGAAACUGGAGCAGCUCUCCUGGCUUAUCCUGAAAGCUGCUGCCUUCCUCUGGUUGAGGAGAAAGCUGAGCAAGUCUUACACACAGCCAGCUAGCAUGAGUUCUUCCCUUCGCAGUGAGGAUGCCAGAGCCCUACAAAUCCAUCCGAUUUUCAGCCUGCUUGUGGCAGCAGAACUGAGCCAGCCAACCAUCACUUUCUUACAGCAGCUUUGCCUCCGUCAGUAGCUUCCCCAUGGACAUUUCAGCACUCUGUGCAGACUGUCAGGGAGUUACAAUGGCAGAUGUCAGCCCCCACACGCACAAAAUGAGCCCUUUGGGUGGCUCUCCAUCAAACACCGGGGUUGUUUGCCCCAAACAGGCACUCACGCAGCAGGAGGGAAGCAAACAAACAGGGCUGAGGUGGUCCCACCAGCUGAACGCCUGCGGCCAGCACACAGCACCGGGACCUCCAAGCAAGAUUUCAGAGUGAUUUUCUCAUAAUUCAAGCCUCCGGAACAGACAAACAAUGCAUUGUGUCUCCUCUGAAUGCAAACCCACCUCUUUCACAAGAGCCCAGCUAGAGGAGCACCGCUCGAAGCCCACCAGCCUCAGCCCAAGCACGCCCUCCCCUCUCUCCCUUGCUUAUUUCCACCAAGUCUCACACAUUACAGCCAUCUGCCCCAAGUUGCUCCCACCCUGAUGUCCUUAUCACCACCCAAACACUCCACAUAAACAAACAAGCCGGACCAAAGCAAACAAGAGACCCGCAGAGCUUUUCCCUACUGCUUUUAAACGCCAUCACUGCCCUCAAGGAGGGAGCUGGGAAGGAGCCAAGGAGCUGCAGAUGUGGACCAGACCCAAUCAUUUCAAAGGGACAUUAAGUAGCGUGGAUGUUGUCCAUCUGUUCUCCCGUGUGUUCUGACUAUUUUUAAAUGUGUUUUCUUCCCGACUACAAUCUCUCACCGCUAUAUAGCGAGCUCACUAAUUUUUGUAUCUUUACAAUAAAAAAAAAAUCUUUAAUUUCUCAUAAUAACAAAUUAGAAAAAUAUUUUUAGUUGCUUAAGUCAGAACUUAGAGGAAAAAAAUCUGUUGGGAAUUCCUGUUCCGUGGGUUGCUUGCCCUAUUGUGAUUCAGUCGCUAGAUGUCACCAUGCGUCUUUUAGAGCACAAAACGGGACAAGUUCCUCUUUUAAUUAAAUAAAUCCAGUUUUGGGGGAUCUUCAUCAAGAAAUGAUGAUCAGCAACCUGAUUGAGAUGCGCGUGUCCGUGUUCAGGGCGGGGGAGUUGGGGACCUUGAAAGGUCCCUUCCAACUCAAACCAUUCUAUGAAAUAAAUGUGGGUUUCACCAGCUCAGAAUGCAACUGAUUUAAGUGUUCAGAUUUCCCUGUUUCAAGGGAAACUCUCCCCUAAAAUUUUCGAGGAAGAAAUCCCAAAGCGCACGCCUCCUUCUUGAACUCUUGGUUUGAUUAAAGGAGAUGUAGAAAUGCAACGUAUUGAAACUUCCCAGCACGCUAACUGAAUGUAGGAGCUUCUCAGGAGAGACCUUGCUAGAAUAAGGAACUAAUUGCUCAUUAUAUUUAUCUGUCAGCUCUGGAGCUUUGAGCAGGAGGAGCCCAGGAUGAGCGGAGCCACGGUGGGGCUGCACCCCAGUGGUGCUGGACACGACCCAGAAAUGUUUUAUGUUUUAGUGAGACAGAGUGGUUGAUCCGUUGUUGAUCUGUCAUAGCCUUAUGCUUUCAUACUCAAACAUGGCUUGAAAUCCAAACUUCAGCCAUACUUUCCACAUCCUCUCCACCUUCUUUUUUCUUUUUUUUUUUUUUU